rnacentral:rRNA from 1 species
CAGCAGCCGCGGUAAUACGAAGGUCCCGAGCGUUGUUCGGAAUCACUGGGCGUAAAGGGAGCGUAGGCGGUUAGGUAAGUCAGACGUGAAAUCCCGGAGCUCAACUCCGGAACUGCAUUUGAAACUGCAUUUCUUGAGGGUAGGCGGAGAAAACGGAAUUCCACAUGUAGCAGUGAAAUGCGUAGAUAUCGAGAGGAAGACCAAUGGCGAAGGCAGCCUGCUGGACAUUUACUGACACUGAGGUACGAAGGCUAGGGUAGCGAAAGGGAUUAGAUACCCCUGUAGUCCUAGCAGUAAACGGUGUGCGCUUGGUGUGAGGGGUUUCGACCCCCCUUGUGCCGGAGCUAACGCGUUAAGCGCACCGCCUGGGGAGUACGGGCGCAAGACUAAAACUCAAAGAAAUUGACGGGGACCCGCACAAGCGGUGGAGUAUGUGGCUUAAUUCGAUGCAACGCGAAGAACCUUACCAGGGCUUGACAUGUAUCGCUAAUCCGGUGAAAGCCGGUGAGACUUCGGUCACUUUACACAGGUGCUGCAUGGCCGUCGUCAGCUUGUGUCGUGAGAUGUUGGGUUAAGUCCCGCAACGAGCGCAACCCCUGUGAUUAGUUGCCAGCACGUAAUGGUGGGGACUCUAAUCAGACUGCCCAGAUCAACUGGGAGGAAGGUGGGGAUGACGUCAGGUCAGUAUGGCCCUUACGCCCUGGGCUGCACACGUACUACAAUGCCCAGUACAAUUAGAACCGAGACCGCGAGGUGGAGGAAAUCUUUAAAACUGGGCCCAGUUCGGAUUGGAGGCUGCAACUCGCCUCCAUGAAGCCGGAAUCGCUAGUAAUGGUGCAUCAGCUACGGCACCGUGAAUACGUUCCCGGGUCUUGUACACACCGCCCGUCGCAUCAUGGAAGCCGGUAGCACCCGAAGUAUCGUUAACUCGGUCUUAAGGUGAAGCUGGUAACUGGGAUGAAGUCGUAACAAGGUAGCCGUA